AAUAACUUCCGGCACGGACACCUGAGAGCAUGGCUGUCCAAGAAGAAAAUGUAGCCAUUGGUGCCAUCUAUCGACCACAGGUUAAAGAUUGGCUAUCCGUUGGAUACCGACCGAGUUAUAGGCAAAACUUGAUGCAAAAAUGAGGAAAAUUUUACAUUUUCUCAAACAGGGUAAGGAACUUUGUUCCUCGAAUAACUUCCGGCACAGACAUCUGAGAGCAUGGCCGUCUAAGAAGAAAAUGUAGCCAUUGGUGCCAUCUAUCGACCACAGGUUAAAGAUUGGCGAUCCGUUGGAUACCGACCGAGUUAUAGGCAAAACUUGAUGCAAAAAUGAGGAAAAUUUUACAUUUUCUCAAACAGGGUAAGGAACUUGGUUCCUCGAAUAACUUCCGGCACGGACACCUGAGAGCAUGGCCGUCCAAGAAGAAAAUGUAGCCAUUGAUGCCAUCUAUCGACCACAGGUUAAAGAUUGGCGAUCCGUUGGAUACCGACCGAGUUGUAGGCAAAACUUGGUGCAAAAAUGACCCUUAGUAAAUUUUCAUAUUUAUGAAUUUUUGGAUUUUUUUAUUAUUUUUCACUCUUUUUUUUAUUUAAAGCAUUACUUGAGUGAAAAGAAACACAUUGCAACUAAUUGGCAUUAAAAUAAAUCAAUUUCAUUUUUUUUGCAAAAUUUCCCAAAAAAAUCGUAAGGGGUAAGCCUUAUGAAAUUUUCGAGUUGAAAAUUUUUUAAAAUUUUUUUUCUGAUUUUUUAUUAUGUUUUUAGUUUAAAGCAUUAUUUGAGUGACAAGAAGCACAUUGCAACAAAUUUGCAUGAAAAUAUAUCACAUUUUUAAAUUUUGCUAAAUUGCUCAAAAAUGAGGAAAAUUUUGCAUUUUCUCAAACAGGGUAAGGAACUUGGUUCCUCGAAUAACUUCCGGCACGGACACCUGCGAGCAUGGCUGUCCAAGAAGAAAAUGUAGCCAUUGGUGCCAUCUAUCGACCACAGGUUAAAGAUUGGCGAUCCGUUGGAUACCGACCGAGUUAUAGGCAAAACUUGAUGCAAAAAUGAGGAAAAUUUUACAUUUUCUCAAACAGGGUAAGGAACUUGGUUCCUCGAAUAACUUCCGGCACGGACACCU